rnacentral:rRNA from 1 species
UACGUAGGGGGCGAGCGUUGUCCGGAGUUACUGGGCGUAAAGGGCAUGCAGGCGGUCGGACGCGUUUGGUGUGACAGCGGGUGGCUUCACUGCCCGAGUAUACCAAAGACGGUUUGACUUGAGGGCUCGAGAGGGACACGGAAUUCCGGGUGGAGUGGUGAAAUGCGUAGAUAUCUGGAGGAACACCGGUGGCGAAGGCGGCAUCCUGGACCAAUUCUGACACUGAGGAGCGAAAGCCAGGGGAGCAAACGGG